UGGGGUAAUUUUCCGCAAUGGGCGAAAGCCUGACGGAGCAAUGCCGCGUGGAGAUGGAAGGCCUACGGGUCGUCAACUUCUUUUCUCGGAGAAGAAACAAUGACGGUAUCUGAGGAAUAAGCAUCGGCUAACUCUGUGCAG
rnacentral:rRNA from 1 species